GGCAAGGUGUGUUUAGGAGAAAGGAGGGCUGCGUCCCAAAUGCUUUGCUUGUGACUGUAUUUUUGCACUGGCAAAUAUACCAGAGUCAGUAUAAAUCAUUGUCUGGAAAUUCCCGUGCAUAUAUUAUCAACCAGUGACUUCUUUAUUUGCCCUGACUCCUUAUUCAUCUGGCAUCCCAAGGCCAGAAAAGAAUCCUGUGUAUGUUUUCCUUCAACAGUAUAAACACCACUUAUCUCUUUCCUCAGCUGCAUGCUUUCCAGUGGGCUAUGGGUCCCUGGAGUCAUUCCAGUGCUUUUAGGAAUAUUGUGCUUUACCAUAAGUGCUCUGGUGCUGGUGCUCAUCCUGCAGAGCAGGGUUUGCCACCAACAGCAUUCGGUCCCCUAUAGCCGGUUGCUACAGCUUUCCUCUGCACCUUGAAUCCUCCUGGACCAGCAUGCGGAAUGGUCCCUCCCGGUGCCAGGACAAGCUGGCUGCAGCUGAUCCCUCCUCAUCCUCCCCUGCGGCACCCCCUCACCCCCCCUGGGAAGUAGGGAAGCGUAGGGGGAUGCAGGAGAGCUGAGGCACGGGUAGCCUGGCUGUCAGAGCCUGUGCUUUGCAGGGUGAUGGGAAGAGGGAAGGUUUUCUUUGGAUCCUGGCCCCGAGUGUAACCCUUAUAACAUACUUUUCAAAUAUUUUAUUUGGGUUACUUUGAUCAGUUCACCUGCUGAUGUUUCAAAAGGGAAGCAAUGGGUAUCUGCUGGGUCUGUGCUGCACCAAUUGCGUGGCGUUAGUGGAGCCCCACUUCUGAGAGGGGGGGUAAAAAUCUGUCUGGAUGUGCUGCUCUUCCUUUCCCCACGCUGUUUUUGUCACCUUCUCUUCCCCAAUUUUUUUCUGAGAAACACAGCAGUCAUACAGUAACUAGUACUAUUGGGUGAGUCCAUUGUAAACAUGGUGAAGGACAGCUACUUCUCUGAAAAAAAAUGCCUGCUGUGAAUUUUAAAGAGAGAAAAUUUUCAUUAUCCUUGUCAUAUAAGUGGCAAUGCUGGGGAAUUUUCUGGGAGCAGCAGGCAGGAGGGGCAGCCCCUUGCAGCAAAGAGAAGCCUGUUCCUGCUGGUGUAAGAGAACAACAGGUCCUGGCUGCUCCCAAUGGCACCAGCCAGGGAGGUUGCAAGACCCAAACUGGCUGGUGAUGCUGUGAUGCUGAAAUGCUGUUGAGGCUAAUGCUGUAUGCCUUCUGCUGCUGGUAGAGGCUGGAAAGGAGCAGCCAUCGGCUUGGGGGAUGCUACUGCCUUGUGCAAAUCCACUGCCGUUUGUCCUGCGCUCGUAAUUGGCACCAUGCAGGCAGCGAACCCCGCAGGGCAGGUGGGUCUGUGUGUGCUGAGGUUUCUUUCCUACCACCAGGCUGGGGCUGCAACAUGGCUGUGGCCACAGGGCACUUCUUCUCAGAGAUGCAGGAGUCGUGUGGUUGCCAGUCCCUGGAGCAACAACUGACUUCUCCCCUUGGAGCGUUUGGGAAAUGAGCCCCCAAAAAGGGUAGCUUGAUGUUAAAUUAUAGCAAUGGACUGGCAAGCUGUCCUGACAACCUCCAUGCUAUGCUUCUAGUAGAAGAAUUCUAGCUGUUGUAUUAAAUCAUGAGGCUGUGGGGCUCAGGGUGAGCAUGGUUUCCCUCCCGGUCCCCAGUUUGUCAUAUCAGGGCUCGUUUGGACUAAAUUCUGCCGUGUUGCUACAAGUGCAGGCAAGUGUGACAAGCACGGGUGUCCUGGCGAGUCCUGUUGGAUACCUUGCCUUCCCUACUCUACUUUCUCAGCUGAGGUUUCAAAGUCCUUGUCAUCUUAUGCAUAGCAUCGGUGCAGGACAUGCUGUCAUCAGCAUUUCCAGCACCCUUACAACAACCUCUUCUUGCACUUUUUUGGGAAACCAACAUCAAGACUGAACAUGAAAGAAUGUAAUUCAUUGAUCUUAAAAUCCCCUGAAUAGCAGACUCCAGAAUCUGAAUGGAGUAAACUUGAGUUUCCAACAUACCAUCAUAAAAUGAGAGACCAAGGACCUCACGCUACCCCACCAGUUCUCGCGAAAUCUUAAAAAGGCAAGAUCUAUGGCAUAUUGCUGUGUUGAGCUGGGACUGCGGCUGAACUUCUCGCAAAUAUGAAGGUGGAUCAACACAGCCCUGCUGUAGCACAUCAGGCAACUCAACCAGUCAGCAUGAGAACACCCUACAGAAGUAUGCGAGCCUGCGCAACGCCCUUCAUCGCUGGCACUCUGCUAUGGACAGGGAACGGGGAGAGCCGAUGCUCUCUGGGGACAAGAGAACAAAAUCAAAACUCGCCUGUAAAAGCUUCUGGCUCAGAAUAUUCCUCUGGAAAAGAAAAAAAAUGAUGCUGCAAAACUUCUGGCAUGGUCACGGUGCCCUGAUGUACUUUCAUCUCUGACCCACGAUGGUUUGCAGUACAGAGAGGAGAAGCAAGAGUGAAGGGCAGCUCUUCUGCAGGCAGGAAAUCUUUAAAGGAUGGCCACCAACUUCUGCUGACCCAAAGGAACGAAUACUGACCAUGUAGCAGCUGCAGGCAACCACACUUUUCAUGCUAGCCUGAAAAAACAAGCAUCCAUGAGAAGUAGAACAGAGCUCUGCAAGGAGGAGGCCCUUGCCCGUGAGCCUGGGCUGGGGAGUGCAGCUCUCAUCCAAGGAAAUUCCUUUUGCUCAUCUUUGACCUCCCAGACUGUUGGCUGCGAUCCAAGGAAGACAUCCUCCUCCUCCUCCUCCUCCUCCUGAACACUGAUGAGGCUGUGGUACACCUCACCUCCGGGAAGUCUGAGUUUGUGAAAAUUACUAGUCCUCCCCCAUCCCUUUCUGCUCGUAACAGCUACGCAUGGGAAAACCCAAUUACCGCCUGCUGCUGCCUUGGAGCUGAAGACAUCAGCAGCAUACACCGUUGUGUUAGGAUGCUGAUCACAGGAAUCAUUCUAGGUGUUAAUUGUUGAGACUUGAACCUUCUCUCCAGCGUGAAGAAAACAAGGAAAAUGCUACCUGCAGUUGGUUAGUCCCUAUUUUUUAGCUUGGCUGGAACAUAACACCAAAGGCAGUGGUGUGAUUUUUCUCAUCUGCAUGUUGCUGUGCAUCACGAUCUGGCUUUGGAGCAACCUCUGCCUGUGCCAGCUGGAAGAGCGCCGGGCUGGGCUACCUGUGUCUGUGUGUACUCUGCUCCACCCCACUGCUGUGCCUACAGGAUAGCUGAAAAUUAUAAUCACGGACCCGUGAGGUUCUACAACAGAAUACAUGGGGUUGUGCCAUGCCCAGGGCAUGGCGUGGGACCCUGGAGGCAGAGGACCAAUGUGGUCAGUCACCAUGACCAAAGCCACAUCCGAGCAAGCCCAGCUCCUGUGAGCUGCCAUGCUGGGCUUUGCUCAUACCAGUCACUAGGGCCAGAUCUUGCAAAGAAAUCCAGCACCCUGCCAGACCCUGGUAAAACUCGGUGUCUGGACAGAGUGAAUGCUGCCUUUAAUACAUUCUGAUACUUCUCCCCCAUGCUUUGAUUCCUUCUGCCAUGCACAGAAGCGAACCUGGACCACUCCCCACAGCAGGGCUGGCAGCAGGUGGCUGAGCAGGGGUGCAUCCCCGAUGCGCUACAUCCCAGCUCAGGAUCCAGCCCCUCUCUGUCCUCUGAUAGAUGAAAGGAAGAUACAAGUUCACAGGCUGCUGUACCCAUCCUCAGCUCUGUAUUGUGCAGAUAGAAACUGGAGGAGAAAACAUGGCCCGUAGGCUGCUGGGAUUCCUGCUAAUCCUUUCACAGGCAGAAUCCUGGCUUCGAGUAAGAUGUUGCUUUCUUCCAUGUGUGGCAACUCAGUGACACAGAGUUUUCCAGCAAAAAAAAUGGAACCGCCUUUUUUAGCUCAGGCUGUGUGUGGACUUGCAUUAGUAACGUUGUCUGGAACUGCAAUCUGAGGCAAUUGAACCUGCCUAAUUGUUGCUGUGUGUAUAUGCUGCAUGUGUGCCAGUGGGAAUUACACAUCCUCCCUUCUCGGUGCUGUUGCUGCCUGGGGUCUGCCAUUUCCCUACCAGUUAAAUGUGCCAUAUUUUUAUUGAAUAGCAACGUCCCAACACUAAAAGAUAAAUACAACAUGGGCAUAAUGAAUCAUGGGCUCUGUUAGACUUGUCCAGCCCCAGGAGACUGUCUGGAGCCAGCCAAGGGAUGAAACACCAUGGCCCAACUCCUGUUUUUCUUCACUUUUGCCUGGAAAGGGCACCCACGGGAAUUCAGAAAACAAGACUCAUCCUGCCUGAGCAAGAAUCCAGAAUCCUGAACAGGCCAGGAGGAGGAACAUGCCUGGGAGGGCAAGGGUCUGGGUGGCAUCGUGCUCUGCUCUGCCCACCACCCCUCUCCAGACUGGGGGCUGGCUGCUGCCCCUGCCCAGGGAGGUCUGGCACGGGGCUGGUCGGCCACUGGUUUUACCAAAAAAGCCUCAGUGAGUGCAGCACGUGGCAGGCUGGGCACAGGCUGGUAACAGCUGCCCGCUGUGAGAAGAGCAAUGAAAUGGAGAAUAUGGGUAGAGGUGCACGUGUAGGCACCAUGCAACCCCUCCCUCUGCUCAGGGCAGGCCAGGCUUCAGGGCAGACAUCGGAAAAUAAAGCCUGACUGGGGAGGAACCAGAGGUGGGCAGCAGGGAGGGCUUGGGAACGUGACCUGUGAGGGCAGACUGAGCGAACUGGCUUUGGUAAUCCAGAGGAAGGAAGGCUAGGGAGAUUAGUUCAGCCUUUAAGUAUAUAUAAAACUACCACAGAGUAAGGCAGUAAAUCGGUCUCCCACUGGGGACAGGGGAAAAAUAACAAUAAUAGUUUUGAAAAGACCUUGAGAGAAACUUUCCAACUGCAGUAUAAACAAGCCCUGAAAAGGAUACUGGUUGGGGUAUCUUCACCAACAGACGUUUUUAAGAUCAGAAUGCAAGUCAGUUGUCAAGAAUGCAGGUUUGGGCAGCAAGGAUGGACAAUGUGGGGGUUUGGGGUUGUCUUUAAUUUCAAUAUUUUUUGCUCAGUUGGUUUCACUGUGCUGAAGCCAGAAGCUUCAGGAGAAAAUUUCUGUCAUUGCACGCAGUGAAAGUGUCCAUGCACAUCCCAAGUGUUAUGGGACUUCUGCGCCACUGGUCUGCGCAGCACGUGUGGUUUCCCUGCAAUUCAAGGUCAGUUAGGUUAGGACACUGAGGAAGUGGCAACUUUUUGUCAUAAAGCUAUUAAAGCUUUAAUCAAAGAGUUAAGGAAUUUAAGAGAUGAUGAAAUAGUUUUUUCAUGCAAAAGCCACUCAAACCUACCUUUAUAGGCUGCUCAAUAAAGGAGUCUUUGAGGAAGAUUCCUUUUAACAGCCCCAUAAAAGCAUUAUUUAUCAUUCCCAAACUUAUAAUAUUAUAAGGCAGGGAGCACAAAUACUAAUCUCUUUACUGAGCACUUGUCUGUAACAUUUCUAAUAAUGCACAGGUGAGUGUGCCCCCUCCCUCCCGAGACAGUCAUGACCAGAAGUUGCAUGAAUAUAGAUAACCAUGGGGGCAAAGCUGUCUGCCAGCAACCUACAGACCUGCCUGCUUCUUUCCACUAAAGCCACCAAGGGCACUGGGCACUGAACCCAGUGGAGAAUCGGUCACGCUGGGACGUGCAGCAGCAGCUGCAAUGCUGGGGGUGGUACAAGAGUCCCUGAAACGGGUCUGGGAUGUGGCUGGGACAGGGCAGGAACAGGCUAGUAGGACAAAAGCCUUCUUUUUAUGCUGUUCCUCUUUCAAGGCCGCCCAUCUCUUCAGAGUGACAAAUGGAGAGGAGUGACUAUGACUCCCAGCUCUUACCCUUUAACUGCUUGUUCGUCUGCAGCGUAGGAAAAAAUUACUUGGAUGAAGAUGCUGACGCCGGCUUUGUUCCCCAGAAAGAAGCACUGCCGGAAGGUAGGAGUCAUGAGCCUGAAAAAGCCAGCACAGCUCAGCACAUCCUUCUGGAAUUUGGAUGCUCUCCCUCACUCCCCCUGUGGUCUCCUCUGCUGCUUGCCCGGGGGCAUGGCAAGGCAAGUGGGUGAGGUUCACCCCGAAGAGGCUCCCAGGCUUUCAGUUAUCUGCAGGUUUUUGUUAAGAGUUUCCAAAGGUAGGGGAAGGUUUCCCUCCACCAUAGGUGGUCCCUCUUUCGGCACCGUCAUGGUCUGAAACCUCGUCACAGCAAGAAGGUAGGGAUGAACAGUGUCAGGAGGCGAGGGAAGUGCUCACAGUGGUUUGGGGAUUUCUGUACCAUCCAGGCAAGUAAACUUGCGAAGUUAUGCUCCUUCCUGCAAGCAGCGCAGCAUGAGGGGAAUCUGAGAUGGAGCCCAGGACCCGUGAGAAGGGGACCUCUGCAGGAGGGGAGUGGGUGGAGGGAGAGGCAGAACGUGACCCAGCGUGUUACUGACCUGCAGCCCGCGAGGGAGAGUGCAGGAGGCUUUUGUCCAGCUCCUUGCAUUGGCAGCAGGUUCCUACUUCCACACAGUCUUAGUGCAAAAAAGACAGGGAAGAUGCUCGGUGAAGGAUCUCAGCCCAGGCCAAGACCUUUCUGAGCAAACAUCCACAUAAACAUACCACAAUUAGUGGUAAAUGUGGGCUGGCCAGCUGCCCAUCUCACUCACGUCCCUACUCAAAAGCCAUGGGAACUCAUCUGCCUUCAGGUUCAGCACAGUGUAAGGUUUAACCAGCUUUUAAAUGCUGGGAAGUGCCCUAAACUGCUUUGCCUAAUGCAGUUAAGCGCCUGCCUGCCGUGAAAGUCCAGCUCCAGUGCCCACGCUCCAACAGCAUGCUCAGCCAAGGGUCCUGAAGGGCACGGGGUGCUGUACAGAAACCUGGCCAGGACCUGCAUUCUGCAAUA